GAUCCUGGCUCAGAUUGAACGCUAGCGGCAGGCUUAACACAUGCAAGUCGAGGGGUAGGGCAGCAAUGCCUGAGACCGGCGCACGGGUGCGUAACGCGUAUGCAAUCUACCUUGUACAGGGGAAUAGCCCAGAGAAAUUUGGAUUAAUGCCCCAUAGCAUGUUUGAAUGGCAUCAUUUAAAUAUUAAAGUUCAGGCGGUACAAGAUGAGCAUGCGUCCCAUUAGCUAGUUGGUAUGGUAACGGCAUACCAAGGCAAUGAUGGGUAGGGGUCCUGAGAGGGAGAUCCCCCACACUGGUACUGAGACACGGACCAGACUCCUACGGGAGGCAGCAGUGAGGAAUAUUGGGCAAUGGGCGCUAGCCUGACCCAGCCAUGCCGCGUGCAGGAAGACGGUCCUAUGGAUUGUAAACUGCUUUUGUACGGGAAGAAACCCUAUUACGUGUAAUAGAUUGACGGUACCGUACGAAUAAGGAUCGGCUAACUCCGUG
rnacentral:rRNA from 1 species